rnacentral:rRNA from 1 species
UACAGAGGGGGCAAGCGUUGUUCGGAAUUACUGGGCGUAAAGGGCGCGUAGGCGGCCUUCUAAGUCGAACGUGAAAUCCCCGGGCUCAACCCGGGAACUGCGUCCGAUACUGGAAGGCUUGAAUCCGGGAGAGGGAUGCGGAAUUCCAGGUGUAGCGGUGAAAUGCGUAGAUAUCAGGAGGAACACCUGCGGUGUAGACGGCUUACUGGACCAUAACUGACGCUGAGGCACGAAAGCGUGGGUAGCAAACAGG